rnacentral:lncRNA from 1 species
GCACGAGGUGUAUUAGUGAUACGACUGUUUUUCUUUUUGACAACGAGAUGCAACUGUUAAAAACGUCACUCUAAUAGCUCUAGACGACACUGACGCACG